rnacentral:lncRNA from 1 species
AAUAAGUAAUAAGAAAUAUUUUUUUAUUAAGGAUACAAUUCGAAAUGAUGAUAGAUUAUAUACAUUGUACACUGUCAGUGUUGAUUUUGGUCGAUCCAUCGGAAUGUUUAUUUACACACAGAUAUAAACAUUAUACCAUGGGAAUUCGUAGCACAUAAUAUUUAGACUCAAGUCGGAAACAUUUUCCUGAAACGAUUAUUUUUCGUGUUAAACCUUGUGCUUCCAGAGAUAAUAACCAGGAUGUUUAUUUACAAGAUUCUUAUCAUUACUUCUAACCAACGGACACUAGGUUAUGUUCCCAAAAUGUAAACAAAAUAAGAAAAUCAACUGAAAUUUAGUUUGUAAAUUAGGGCGCCAAUAUAAAUUGAAUUGAUAAGUAAGUGCUAACUACAAUAAACGCACUGGAAAGUUAUUUCGGAUAAAAUACAUCGGUUUUAGCAGACAUUAUUUAUGCAGAAUUACAGGAAAUCGUUAUUUGUUCUGGUCGUUUCUGAGUAUGGAUAUUUUUCGGAAGAGUUCGCAUGCUAGUUCCCACAUACUGGAUUCAGAUUCAUUGGUAAUGGAGGCCUUGUGUACUAUGCAAUACAAAGAAAACUACAUUCAUGUGUCAACAUUUGCUGUUAUUAACAGGGAUAUACACACAUCAUUGUGGAUUAUAAAUGAAAGUUGGAUCUCUAAAAGCGACCACGUUACCUAACUGGAAUAGUGUUUUGAAGGAGAUGUAUUUUCGUAUUACUUUGAAUAUUACAAAUAUAUGGGCAUUUGUUUUCGUAAUGUGAAAUGAUAACGUUUCUCGAAAAUGUCAGGACAGAAACAUCCAAUAAUUACAUUCUAACCAUAUCACGUUGUGUAAGAUGUGCAAACACUGACAAAAAAUCAUGAUGGAAUAUAUUGAAAAUCUUGUAAUCUUUCACAAUUUGUAACUAUUUCCAUGAUGACUAAUGGCAGUACAUGCAAACAACAUGCAUUUUGUCCGUUUUCAGAAAGUUAAAUGCAAAAGGAAUUGUAUUCUAUUUCACACAGUAUCAGUUACCUUGGACAUUCAUUUUCUGAAACUUAUCAGAAUUUUACCGUUAUCUUGGCCUUCCUGUAUAUAUUUAUUCUUUAUUCAUAUACAUGUAUAAUUACAUAACACAGUGCUUAACACAGUGCUUGAAUUCGGUCAGAUUUCAAUUGUUUUGUAACGGCUUAUCGGAAUUUGGAUAGCAACAUUGACACACAUUAUUUAUUUCCUCUGUUUAUAGUUAUAUAAUUCAGAUAGUAAAGUCAAUGCUCUUUUUUCUACUGCCUGCUGUCAAAUGCUGUUUAUCUGAAUUUGGAUAGCAAACGCAACGCACAGUUUCUCUACUGUUCGGUUCCAGAUCGUUUUACGCUGUGGCUUAGGCGAAUUCGGAUAACAACGAUAAUACAUACACAAGAUCUAUUUCAUAUAUUCCUGAUGAGACGCAAAACUUAAUAGUUAUUUCAAUUCAGAUAGCAAAGUCAAUGCUAGGUUUUUUGAACUGCAUGAUUGCUUAUCUGAAUUUGGAUAGCAAAAACGAAACACAAUUUUUAGAUAGUCAAUAAUGUAUAGACUUGUCUGAAUUCGGAUAAUAAUACAAACGCACAAUUUGGUCUUAUUUGUGUAUUUACUUGUUCGUUUAAUAAUCAGGUACAAGGUUUCUUCCGUAAAUUAUCGGAUUUGGUAAAGUGUAUAUUCGCAUAGGACAGCGUAGCAUAAUAAAUAUUGGAUUUAAUCUGACAGUAUUUUGUAUUUGUAUAAGUAAUAUAAAAUGAAUUGAAGAUAAUCUAAGUCUGCCUUUUAUCUGAUUUCGGAUAGAGCAGUUUUCUUAUACAUAUUUAGAUAUGUGGUUUCCUGUUCCCAGCUCGAGGUGUCUUGUAUUUAAUACAUAUUCAUGAUCAUUAAAGUUAUGAAACAUU